GCGCGUCAUUACGCGCGCCACGUGACACCGCCGCCGUCCAAUCAGGAGGCGGCGCGGUGCGGCCCAGGCCCCUCGCGAGGCCUCCCGACUUUCCUGACCGCCUGCGACCGGGUGGCGCGCGGGGUUUCGCCGUUCAAGCUCCGUCGUGGUCACCGCCCCCACCCCUACCCACACGCUCCGCCUGAUGGUGGUGAUCAGUCGGAGUCGGCAGACGAACUAAGGCGUCGCUUGUUUAGUUAAGGCGGUCAGUUGUGGUGAGGGUGGAGACAGAGACACGGGGAGACAGAGACACGUGCCAUGCCGAGGCUGUGUGAGACUUGCGGUGAGCGCCGAGCCUCCCUUUGCCGCCCCAAGACGCGUCGCUUGUUUAGUUAAGGCGGUCAGCUGUGGUGAGGGUGGAGACAGAGACACGGGGAGACAGAGACACGUGCCAUGCCGAGGCUGUGUGAGACUUGCGGCGAGCGCCCGAGCCUCCCUUCGCCGCCCCAAGACGCGCCGCUUGUUUAGUUAAGGCGGUCAGCUGUGCCAUGCCGAGGCUGUGUGAGACUUGCGGCGAGCGCCGAGCCUCCCUUUGCCGCCCCAAGACGCGUCGCUUGUUUAGUUAAGGCGGUCAGCUGUGGUGAGGGUGGUGACAGAGACACGUG